rnacentral:rRNA from 1 species
GGUCGGGUUGGGUCGCGGGGUGCAUGCACGCUGCCGUCCAACCGCGACGCACAUCCGUUCCGUGUGCACGUUCGCUCUGCACUGGCACAUUUCUGCGAAUGUCUGAUCCAUCCGUGAACAGCAAUGAUCAACUUUUACAAUGGAUCUCUAGGCUCCCGCAUCGAUGAAGAACGCAGUGAAGUGCGAAAAGUAAUGCGAUUUGCAUGCUCUGUGAGUCAUCGAAUCUUUGAACGCAUAUGGCACCCCUUGGCUCUUGCUGGGGGGUAUGCCUGUUUGAGAAUCAUUUCCACCGUUCCGAUUGUCGCCAGUCGGAGAGCUGGGCCUUCACCACUGAUCGCCCCGAAUGCAGCGUGCGCGCGUCGUGGCAAUCUAACCGUUGGUCGAUGCGUGCACCGCCUUGUCAAUGAUCUCAAAUCAGGCAGGACUACCCGCUGAACUUAAGCAUAUCAAUAAGCGGAGGAA